GCCUUCGUGGUGUAAAGGUAUCACAUUCGGCGCGUAUUCGAGAGGUCUAGGUUUGAAUCCCGGCAAGAGCA
rnacentral:tRNA from 1 species